GUGGAUGCAGCGCCGGACGCCACAGCCGAAAAACAGAAUCUUGGAACUGGUUUAGUACAAUCCAGCCAACGAGUGGAUAAAGAAAAUGUGAUAUAUAUGCACUAUGGAAUACUAAGCCAUAAGAAGGAAUGAAAUAAUGGCAUUUGCAGCAACCUAGAUGGAGUUGGAGACCAUUAUUCUAAGUGAAGUAACUCAAGAAUGGAAAACCAAAUAUUGUAUGUUCUCACUCGUAAGUGGGAGCUAAGCUGCGAAGAUGCAAAGGCAUAAGAAUGAUAUAGUGGACUUUGAGGACUCAAGGGUUGAAGGAUGAGACUACACAUUGGGUACAGUGUGCACUGCUUGGGUGAUGAGUGCACCAAAAUCUCAGAACUCACCACUGAAGAACUUCCCCAUGUAACCAAAAACCACCUGUUCCACAGAAACUAUCGAAAUAACAUUUUUAAAACUUUACUAUUUCUGAAUAAAAUUUACAUACAUUUCUCAGAAAAAAAAAUAUUUGGAAUUGAGGUAUCUAAUAGAGAACUGAGUUAAAUUAUUGCCACUUAAAAACACAAAGUGAUAUAGCCACUUUAUGAAUUAAUCAGUCAGCAGUGGCUAGGUUAUGCUUAGUGGUUUAUAACCAAAUCUUAGUUUAUAACAACAAAUGUGUAUUGUUAAUUCCCACUACAAGUUUAUAACGACAUUGCUGGAUGCUACACUCCAUGUCUCUUUGUGGGACCCAGGCUCAUGGGACUUCUGUUACCUGCAUUAGAGAGA
rnacentral:lncRNA from 10 species